rnacentral:rRNA from 1 species
UGUGGCCUACGGGACGCAGCAGUAGGGAAUCUUCCACAAUGGACGAAAGUCUGAUGGAGCAACGCCGCGUGAGUGAAGAAGGGUUUCGGCUCGUAAAGCUCUGUUGGUAGUGAAGAAAGGUAGAGGUAGUAACUGGCCUUUAUUUGACGGUAAUUACUUAGAAAGUCACGGCUAACUACGUGCCAGCAGCCGCGGUAAUACGUAGGUGGCAAGCGUUGUCCGGAUUUAUUGGGCGUAAAG